rnacentral:lncRNA from 1 species
AUAUAUAAGCAUCACAUACGUAUAAAGUCAACUAAGGAUUUAUUUAUUCAUUCAUUUAAUUAAAGUGCAUAGGCGAACUAGUGUUUUGGAAGGGCAACUUUUUAGGGAAAACCCGACUUACUCUGACUAACUGCUUUUUAUUCAGUGGUAAAUUUACACCAAAUUUUUUUCUUUGAUAUUGGGGUUCAACCACCGUUGGGUUGAAUAACAGUGUGAGGGUUACCCAACUUAGAGGGUGCAGUUGGCUUUUACUACCAGUAUUUUUACUUUUU